ensembl:lncRNA
AAGAGCGGCAGUGUUGGGGUUUAGCUGUUGUUCUUGUUGUCCUGUAUGAAUGAAACCCGCUGCAGUGGAUAGCUGCCAUUUUACGGGCUCAGGACCAAUUCUGCUAUUUUGUGUGUAUAUAAAAUUUCCGUCAUAAUUUCUUAUGACUGAAAACAGCUUCUGGACAUCAGAACAGCAAUCACUAACCUUGAUUUGGAUGUAGAUUUCGUCUUCAAAGAUUCGGCAGCUCAUUCCAUAAUGCUCAUUCUGGACCAGGCCGUAAUCCGGAAUCAAAAGAGGAAGAGAUGGUAAAAGAUAUGCAAACGAGGGGGGUCCCUGACAAGACUACGUAGAGCUUCUGGACAUCAGAACAGCAAUCACCAAUGUCGAUUUGGAUGAAGAUAUCUAUAGGACACCCCUGACCAGGUCCUAAUCCCCAAGACUCGGAAAAGGAAGAUGUGGCGUAAGACAGGCCGACGUGUGGGCACCUUGAUGAAACUACAUCAAAGACUCAUGAAACAUGGGACCAACACUGUACAUUUUGCCACUGACCCCAGACUGGAGACCUUCGUUGCGGGCCCAGGACUGGGCACCCUCGCUGUGGGCCCCGGACUGGGCACCCUCGUUGCGGGCCCCGGACUGGGCACCCAUGUGUGUCAGGUCAACUCAGUCUGGUGCCUGAUCCACUGCUGUCGACCUCGGCCCGGCACCGGCGAGCCUUAACCUUGGAUCCCCCCCAACCCUCCAGGAGGCGUGUGGAUAGGGGGAGUGGGGCUAAGGCCUGAGGUGUGUGGAGAAAGCAAGGACCUGCCACAUUAUAUGCUUUAACAUGACUGGCAAAUCCACCGCGGUUAAACAAACUUAACCUUCAUUUGUGAAACGGUGCAAAUCAAAGGGCAAAAAAGGACUUGUGCUGGUAAUUACCGCUGGGGGAGAGCAACAGGGGAUUCAAGGAUGGAGGAAGGAGAGAGGUGAGCGCCGGGAGAUAGAGAGGGGAGAAUACAAAAAGAAGGGGAAUCAUUUAAGGAGAAGACGCAUUUGUAAUGAGUUUGCCCAGAAAUGGAUUUUCCGCUGUAAUCUUUUAUUUAUAUGCAGGCUGGUCUCCCUCCCCGGCAGUGUGAGGGUCAGUCCUCUGUGAACCCUGUCAGGACCCCACUCCGUCAAACACCCAAAGACCAGGGAAAAUGGUAUUUUAGCAAAGGCAAACAUUGUCCUGUCUUGGCUUAAGGGGCGAAAUAGCUGUUUAUUUUUAAAAACUUGUUCCCCUCUAUCCAUCAUGCCAGAAAUUCUGUCAGGAGGAAGG